CGUGUAGGCGGUUUAAUAAGUCAGAUGUAAAGCCCCGGCUCAACCGGGGAUGGUCAUUUGAAACUGUUAGGCUUGAGUGCGAGAGAGGGUAGUGGAAUUCCCAGUGUAGCGGUGAAAUGCGUAGAUAUUGGGAAGAACACCAGUAGCGAAGGCGGCUACCUGGCUCGCAACUGACGCUAAGGCGCGAAAGCGUGGGGAGCAAACA
rnacentral:rRNA from 1 species